GAUUAGCGGCGGACGGGUGAGUAACACGUGGGUAACCUGCCUCAAAGUGGGGGAUAGCCUUCCGAAAGGAAGAUUAAUACCGCAUAAUAUAAGAGAAUCGCAUGAUUUUCUUAUCAAAGAUUUAUUGCUUUGAGAUGGACCCGCGGCGCAUUAGCUAGUUGGUAAGGUAACGGCUUACCAAGGCAACGAUGCGUAGCCGACCUGAGAGGGUGAUCGGCCACAUUGGAACUGAGACACGGUCCAGACUCCUACGGGAGGCAGCAGUGGGGAAUAUUGCGCAAUGGGGGAAACCCUGACGCAGCAACGCCGCGUGGGUGAUGAAGGUCUUCGGAUUGUAAAGCCCUGUUUUCUAGGACGAUAAUGACGGUACUAGAGGAGGAAGCCACGGCUAACUACGUGCCAGCAGCCGCGGUAAUACGUAGGUGGCGAGCGUUGUCCGGAUUUACUGGGCGUAAAGGGUGCGUAGGCGGAUGUUUAAGUGGGAUGUGAAAUCCCCGGGCUUAACCUGGGGGCUGCAUUCCAAACUGGAUAUCUAGAGUGCAGGAGAGGAAAGCGGAAUUCCUAGUGUAGCGGUGAAAUGCGUAGAGAUUAGGAAGAACACCAGUGGCGAAGGCGGCUUUCUGGACUGUAACUGACGCUGAGGCACGAAAGCGUGGGUAGCAAACAGGAUUAGAUACCCUGGUAGUCCACGCCGUAAACGAUGGAUACUAGGUGUAGGGGGUAUCAACUCCCCCUGUGCCGCAGUUAACACAAUAAGUAUCCCGCCUGGGGAGUACGGUCGCAAGAUUAAAACUCAAAGGAAUUGACGGGGGCCCGCACAAGCAGCGGAGCAUGUGGUUUAAUUCGAAGCAACGCGAAGAACCUUACCUGGACUUGACAUCCCUUGCAUAGCCUAGAGAUAGGUGAAGCCCUUCGGGGCAAGGAGACAGGUGGUGCAUGGUUGUCGUCAGCUCGUGUCGUGAGAUGUUAGGUUAAGUCCUGCAACGAGCGCAACCCUUGUUAUUAGUUGCUACCAUUAAGUUGAGCACUCUAAUGAGACUGCCUGGGUAACCAGGAGGAAGGUGGGGAUGACGUCAAAUCAUCAUGCCCCUUAUGUCCAGGGCUACACACGUGCUACAAUGGUAGGUACAAUAAGACGCAAGACCGUGAGGUGGAGCAAAACUUAUAAAACCUAUCUCAGUUCGGAUUGUAGGCUGCAACUCGCCUACAUGAAGCUGGAGUUGCUAGUAAUCGCGAAUCAGAAUGUCGCGGUGAAUACGUUCCCGGGCCUUGUACACACCGCCCGUCACACCAUGAGAGCUGGUAACACCCGAAGUCCGUGAGGUAACC
rnacentral:rRNA from 1 species